rnacentral:rRNA from 1 species
AGAACGAACGCUGGCGGCAUGCCUAAUACAUGCAAGUCGAACGAACACUUCGGUGUUAGUGGCGCACGGGUGCGUAACGCGUGGGAAUCUGCCCUUGGGUUCGGAAUAACAGUUGGAAACGACUGCUAAUACCGGAUGAUGACGAAAGUCCAAAGAUUUAUCGCCCAGGGAUGAGCCCGCGUAGGAUUAGCUAGUUGGUGAGGUAAAGGCUCACCAAGGCGACGAUCCUUAGCUGGUCUGAGAGGAUGAUCAGCCACACUGGGACUGAGACACGGCCCAGACUCCUACGGGAGGCAGCAGUAGGGAAUAUUGGACAAU